rnacentral:rRNA from 1 species
CACGUAGUUAGCCGGUGCUUCUUCUCCACGGUACCGUCACCCACCAGGUGGGCUUCGUCCCGGGCGAAAGGAGUUUACAACCCGAAGGCCUUCAUCCCCCACGCGGCGUCGCUGCAUCAGGCUUGCGCCCAUUGUGCAAUAUUCCCCACUGCUGCCUCCCGUAGGAGUCUGGGCCGUGUCUCAGUCCCAAUGUGGCCGUCCACCCUCUCAGGCCGGCUACCCGUCGCCGCCUUGGUAGGCCAUUACCCCACCAACAAGCUGAUAGGCCGCGGGCUCAUCCCACACCGCAAAAGCUUUCCACCAUGACCCCUACGCCAUGGUCGUAUGUGGUAUUAGACCCAGUUUCCCAGGCUUAUCCCACAGUGCGGGGCAGAUCACCCACGUGUUACUCACCCGUUCGCCACUCGAGUACCCACCACCAAGGUGGCGGGCCUUUCCGUUCGACUUGCAUGUGUUAAGCACGCCGCCAGCGUUCGUCCUGAGCCAGGAUCAAACUCU